GUUGGAUUUAAGGAUGGGUGCUAAAAUGGACGUCUUCCUUCUUGAAAAUUUCACCACCGAUAUCGUGCUUAAAUCUGGGUCUUGUGAAUGAAUUCCAAGGAAACUUGUGAAAGAGAAAGAGGAUGAGCAGGGCUCGACUUUACCACGUUUGUAAUCUCCGUUGGCAAAUACGCCCACCUUUGUACCAAAGGUGCUUAACAAUCUAAAUCUUCUAGAGACUAACAGAUCUUAGGGAUGUACCUGGUGUGCUGCAUGGGCUGCAGAGUUGGUCCGUUGCAGAAAGGAAUGCUGCGAAU